rnacentral:rRNA from 1 species
UGACGCGCUCUUUUGAAGGGGGUAAAUCUAGCCGAGUAUCUUUCGCAUCGCCUAGGGGAAAGUAGGGAAUCUUCCGACCCUAUUUUAUAAGAGCGGGCGAAUUCUGAUAAGCUAGUGGAGGGGUAACGCUACAAGGCUUCGAUCCAGUAGCUGUUCUGAGAGGACGACCAGCACGCUGGAACUGAGACACGUCAGACUCUACGGAGGCAGCAGUGGGAAAUUUUGACAUGGCGAAGCUGAUCCAGCAUCCGCGUGAGUGAGAGGCGUUCGGGUGUAAAGCUCUUUCGCAGGGAAGAAAACUUACUUUCUAAUAAAGAGUGAGGCUGGCGGUACCUUGAUAAGAAGCACCGGCUAACUACGUGCCAGCAGCCGCGGUAAUACGUAGGGUGCGAGCGUUAAUCGGAAUUACUGGGCGUAAAGCGUGCGCAGGCGGUUUGGCAAGUCAGAUGUGAAAUCCCCGAGCUCAACUUGGGAACUGCGUUUGAAACUGCCAGACUAGAAUAUGUCAGAGGGGGGUAGAAUUCCACGUGUAGCAGUGAAAUGCGUAGAGAUGUGGAGGAAUACCAAUGGCGAAGGCAGCCCCCCGGGAUAAUAUUGACGCUCAUGCACGAAAGCGUGGGGAGCAAACAGGAUUAGAUACCCUGGUAGUCCACGCCCUAAACGAUGUCUACUAGCUGUUGGUGGAGUAAAAUCCAUGAGUAACGCAGCUAACGCGUGAAGUAGACCGCCUGGGGAGUACGGUCGCAAGAUUAAAACUCAAAGGAAUUGACGGGGGCCCGCACAAGCGGUGGAUUAUGUGGAUUAAUUCGAUGCAACGCGAAAAACCUUACCUGGCCUUGACAUACCACUAACGAAGCAGAGAUGCAUUAGGUGCCCGUAAGGGAAAGUGGACACAGGUGCUGCAUGGUUGUCGUCAGCUCGUGUCGUGAGAUGUUGGGUUAAGUCCCGCAACGAGCGCAACCCUUGCCAUUAAUUGCCAUCAUUUAGUUGGGCACUUUAAUGGGACUGCCGGUGACAAACCGGAGGAAGGUGGGGAUGGCGUCAAGUCCUCAUGGCCCUUAUGGCCAGGGCUUCACACGUAAUACAAUGGUCGGUACAGAGAGUUGCCAACCCGCGAGGGGGAGCUAAUCUCAGAAAGCCGAUCGUAGUCCGGAGUUGUUCUCUGCAACUCGAGAGCAUGAAGUCGGAAUCGCUAGUAAUCGCGGAUCAGCAUCGCGUAUGCUC